rnacentral:tRNA from 1 species
UCCGGAGUAGCUCAAUGGUAGAGCAGCUCGCUGUUAACGAGCUGGUUGUCGGUUCGAGUCCGACCUCCGGAGCCA